AAGUCGUAACAAGGUUUCCGUAGGUGAACCUGCGGAAGGAUCAUUAUUGAAAUAAACCUGAUGGGUUGCUGCUGGCUCUCUCGGGAGCAUGUGCACACUUGUCAUCUUUGUAUCUCCACCUGUGCACCUUUUGUAAAUCUGAAUAUCUUUCUGAAUGGCUUGCCAUUCGGGUUCGAGGAUUGAUCUUUUUCUUUCCUUACAUUUUCAGGUUUAUGUCUUUCAUAUACCCCAUGUAUGUUAUAGAAUGUAAUAAAAGGGCCUUUGUGCCUAUAAAUUUAUACAACUUUCAGCAACGGAUCUCUUGGCUCUC
rnacentral:misc_RNA from 1 species